GCAGAACGAAAACAUGCAGCUGAAAGUUAUCCUCGUGGGCUUGACCAUCUUCGGUCUCAUUGUUGCAGAGAGCGGUGCCAUGCCUGCCAGGAGCAGUGCCAACGAGGCCGAAGCCAGGGCUGAGUCACAGUCCACUGAGCGUGCAGAGGAAAGCAGUGCUGAGGAGGCACGCAUCAGUGAGGCAUGCAUGGCAUCACUGUGCGGGUAGCAAGCGGACGCAAGGAAACGGCACGUUC
rnacentral:lncRNA from 1 species